ensembl:snRNA U6 U6 spliceosomal RNA
GUGCUUGCUUUGGCAGCACAUAUACUAAACUUGGAAUGAUAUGGAGAAAGUUGGCAUGGAACCUGCCCAAGAGUGACAUGGAAAUUUGUGAAGCACUCUAUAUUUUU